GGGUUGGCUGCUCAAUGAUGGGAAGCACGUGGCCUCGAACUGCAGAUCCGGGGGUUCAAAUCCUUACCAAUCCG
rnacentral:tRNA from 1 species